rnacentral:rRNA from 1 species
UGGGUAACCUGCCUCAUAGAGGGGAAUAGCCUUUCGAAAGGAAGAUUAAUACCGCAUAAGAUUGUAGUUUCGCAUGAAACAGCAAUUAAAGGAGUAAUCCGCUAUGAGAUGGACCCGCGUCGCAUUAGCUAGUUGGUGAGGUAACGGCUCACCAAGGCGACGAUGCGUAGCCGACCUGAGAGGGUGAUCGGCCACAUUGGGACUGAGACACGGCCCAGACUCCUACGGGAGGCAGCAGUGGGGAAUAUUGCACAAUGGGGGAAACCCUGAUGCAGCAACGCUGCGUGAGUGAUGACGGUCUUCGGAUUGUAAAACUCUGUCUUUGGGGACGAUAAUGACGGUACCCAAGGAGGAAGCCACGGCUAACUACGUGCCAGCAGCCGCGGUAAUACGUAGGUGGCAAGCGUUGUCCGGAUUUACUGGGCGUAAAGGGAGCGUAGGUGGAUAUUUAAGUGGGAUGUGAAAUACUCGGGCUUAACCUGAGUGCUGCAUUCCAAACUGGAUAUCUAGAGUGCAGGAGCGGAAAGUAGAAUUCCUAGCGUAGCGGUGAAAUGCGUAGAGAUUACGAAGAACUCCCAGGGCGACCGCGACCUUUCUGGACUGUAACUGACACUGACGCUCGGAAAGCGUGGGGAGCAAACCAGGAUUAGAUACCCUGGUAGUUCCCCGCCCUAAACGAUGAAUACUAGGUGUAGGGGCUGUCAUGACCUCUGUGCCGCCGCUAACGCAUUAAGUAUUCCGCCUGGGGAGUACGGUCGCAAGAUUAAAACUCAAAGGAAUUGACGGGGGCCCGCACAAGCAGCGGAGCAUGUGGUUUAAUUCGAAGCAACGCGAAGAACCUUACCUAGACUUGACAUCUCCUGAAUUACCCUUAAUCGGGGAAGCCCUUCGGGGCAGGAAGACAGGUGGUGCAUGGUUGUCGUCAGCUCGUGUCGUGAGAUGUUGGGUUAAGUCCCGCAACGAGCGCAACCCUUAUUGUUAGUUGCUACCAUUUAGUUGAGCACUCUAGCGAGACUGCCCGGGUUAACCGGGAGGAAGGUGGGGAUGACGUCAAAUCAUCAUGCCCCUUAUGUCUAGGGCCACACACGUGCUACAAUGGCUGGUACAGAGAGAUGCUAAACCGCGAGGUGGAGCCAAACUUCAAAACCAGUCCUCCAGUUCGGAUUGUAGGCUGAAACUCCGCC